GCCGGAGUGGCGUAAUGGCAGCCGCAGCAGACUCAAAAUCUGCCGUACGUGAGUACGUGAGGGUUCGAGUCCCUCCUCCGGCACCA
rnacentral:tRNA from 1 species